UACAGAGGGUGCAAGCGUUAAUCGGAGUUACUGGGCGUAAAGGGCGCGUAGGCGGUUGUGUGAGUGUGAUGUGAAAGCCCUGGGCUUAACCUAGGAAGUGCAUCGCAAACGACAUAACUGGAGUAGAAGAGAGGGUGGCGGAAUUUCCGGUGUAGCGGUGAAAUGCGUAGAGAUCGGAAGGAACGUCAAUGGCGAAGGCAGCCACCUGGCUUCAUACUGACGCUGAGGCGCGAAAGCGUGGGGAUCGAACAGG
rnacentral:rRNA from 1 species